rnacentral:rRNA from 1 species
GGCCUUUUGUUAAAUAUUUAAGGUCUAGCCUGCCCACUGAAAAUUUUAAUGGCCGCAGUAAUUUGACUGUGCAAAGGUAGCAUAAUCAUUAGUUUUUUAAUUGAAAGCUGGAAUGAAGGGUUGAAUGAGAAAAAAACUGUCUCUAUUUAAUUUAAAUAGGAAUUUUAUUUUUAAGUUAAAAAGCUUAAAUAUUUAUAAAAGACGAGAAGACCCUAUAGAGUUUUAUAAAAUUUAAAUAUUAAUAUUUUUAGAAUUAUUAUUUUUAAUUUUUAUUUUUUAUUUAGUUGGGGUGAUUGAAAAAUUUAAUAAACUUUUUUUUUAUAAUAACAUUAAUUUAUGAGUAUUUGAUCCGUUAUUUAUGAUUAAAAGAUAAAAUUACCUUAGGGAUAACAGCGUAAUUUUUUUUUAGAGUUCAAAUCAAAAGAAAGGAUUGCGACCUCGAUGUUGGAUUAAAAUUAAUUUCUGGUGUAGAAGUUAGAAAUAUUUGGUCUGUUCGACCAUUAAAAUUUUACA